AGGGGCAUGACAGUUUGAACGGAACCUUUACCAAAACUACGGGUGCCAACAACAAUUGCCCUGCGGUGAUCUUGUAAAGCGCCUGCAACAAUUUCAGAUGCAGAUGCAGAUCCGCCAUUUAUUAAGACAACAAUUGGCUUUCCAUCUGCCAAGUCUCCCGGCUUUGCAGUAUAUCGUUCACUAUCUUUGCUGUAUCUACCGCGUGUGGAAACAAUUUCUCCUUUUUCUAAAAAGGCGUCUGAUACACGAAUUGCUUGGUUUAGAAGUCCACCGGGAUUGUUUCGUAA
rnacentral:ncRNA from 1 species